UCCGGCUUACGCCGGCAGUCUCGUUAGAGUCCCCAGCAUUACCUGAUGGCAACUAACGACAGGGGUUUCGCUCGUUGAAGGACUUAACCCGACACUUCACAGCACGAGCUGACGACAGCCGUGCAACACCUGUGCUUGUUUCACCCUUGCGGGUAAUUCUAUGAGUCAUCCCCUUAGAACAUCCAAGCAUGUCAAACCCGGGUAAGGUUCUUCGCGUUGCUUCGAAUUAAGCCACAUGCUCCACCGCUUGUGUGAGCCCCCGUCAAUUCCUUUGAGUUUUAGCCUUGCGGCCGUACUCCCCAGGCGGCACACUAAGCACUUUUGCUUCGACGCCGGCAACGUCAGAGUUUCCGGCAUCCAGUGUGCAUCGUUUACGGCGUGGACUAC
rnacentral:misc_RNA from 1 species